GUGAGGAAUAUUGGUCAAUGGGCGCGAGCCUGAACCAGCCAAGUAGCGUGAGGGAUGACUGCCCUAUGGGUUGUAAACCUCUUUUGCAGGGGGGUAAAGUGGUUCACGUGUGGACCAUUGCAAGUACCCUGCGAAUAAGGAUCGGCUAACUCCGUGCCAGCAGCCGCGGUAAUACGGAGGAUCCGAGCGUUAUCCGGAUUUAUUGGGGUUAAAGGGAGCGUAGGCGGGGGUUUAAGUCAGCUGUGAAAUGCCGUGGCCCAACCAUGGAACUGCAGUUGAAACUGGACCUCUUGAGAGUACAUAAGGAAGGCGGAAUUCGUGGUGUAGCGGUGAAAUGCAUAGAUAUCACGAAGAACUCCGAUUGCGAAGGCAGCUUUCCGGGGUACAUCUGACGCUGAAGCUCGAAAGUGCGGGAAUCAAACAGGAUUAGAUACCCUUGUAGUCC
rnacentral:rRNA from 1 species